rnacentral:rRNA from 1 species
CUCAUCCCCAAUUCCCCUCCUCCCCACCUCACUGCUUCAUCUCAUCUCUGAGUUGCCUCUCGGUCUCGGGGCCUCACAAAAUCUCCUAGAAUGAUUGCUACUGCCGGGCGGCGCUUCAGUAAUCAGUAGCUGCUGCUAGCAAGACCCGAGCGUAGUAGGUACAUCCAUUUCUGAGACAAGUAAUUCCAACGGAGGGAGUAGUAGCUAGCAUGGCGGAAGCUCUGCUUCUGCCGGCGGUACGCAUCACGGCCGGCAAGGCGGCCGACGCGCUCGUCCAGGGCGUGGCCGGCAUGUGGGGCGUCGACGCCGACCGCCGCAAGCUGGAGCGCCAGCUGCUGGCCGUCCAGUGCAAGCUGGCCGACGCGGAGCUCAAGAGCGGGGUCAACCCGGCCGUCCGGCGGUGGAUCAAGGACCUGCGGACCGCCGCCUACCAGGCCGACGACGUCCUCGACGACUUCCACCACGAGGCGCUGCGCCGCGAAGCCCGGAUCGGCGAGUCGGCCGCCCGCAAGGUGCUCGGCUAUUUCACGCUGCCGCACAACCCGCUUCUGUUCCGUCUCGCAAUGAGCUGGAGGCUGAACAGUGUCCUCAAAAAGAUCGAUCUGCUUGUCGCGGAGAUGAACAGUUUCGGCCUGGAGAACCAUGCCGAGGCGCCGCAUGCUGUUCUUUGCCGGCAGACGCACUCGGCGAUCGACGACCCUGCGCAGAUCUUCGGCAGAGAUCUCGACAAGGAGGCGGUGGUGAACCUGUUGCUCGGCCAGCAAGAUCAUCAGAAAGUGCAGGUCCUGCCCGUCUUUGGGAUGGGUGGUCUGGGCAAGACCACGCUUGCCAAGAUGGUGUACAACGACCCCAAGGUCCAGCAACAUUUUCAGUUACUCAUGUGGCACUGUGCGUCGGACAGCUUCGAGACCGCCGCCCUUGUGAAGUCCAUCAUCGAGUUGGCUACGAGAGGGAGAUGCGACAUUCCAGACACAGUCGAGCUGCUGCGAGGGAGGCUUCAGGAGGUCAUUGGCUGGAAAAGGUUUCUGCUUGUUCUUGACGAUGUCUGGAAUGAAGAACAGCGAAAGUGGGAGGAUAGCCUGAAAUCAGCGUUGUGUUCCGUCGGCGGUUCCGGAAGCGUUAUAAUCGUCACGACUCGGAGCCCACGAGCAGCGUCUAUAAUGGGCACGCUUCAAACCCAUGAGCUGGCACAUCUGAGUGAACAACACUCAUGGGAAUUGUUCUCAAAGAAAGCAUUUAAGGGAAAUGUGCGAGAGCAGGCAGAGUUGAUGUCGAUCGGCAAGCGUAUCGUCAGCAAAUGCAAGGGGCACCCUCUUGCUCUGAGUGCAAUGGGGGGUUUGAUGUGUUCAAAAGGACGGGCCUGGGAAUGGGAGGCCAUUGCAGAAAGCAAUAUUGGGGAUAGUGUUGCAGGCAAACAAGAAAUCAUAUCCAUACUCAAAUUGAGCUACCAACACUUAUCCUCUGAAAUGAAGCAAUGCUUUGCCUUCUGCGCCGUCUUCUCCAAGAACAGUGAGAUGGAAAAAAGCAUGUUGAUCCAACUAUGGAUGGCCAAUGGGUUUAUUCAAGAAGAGGGAAUGAUGGAUUUGGAGCAGAAAGGCGAAUUUGUUUUCAACGAGUUGGUUUGGAGAUCCUUCCUUCAGGAUGUGGAAGUGAAACCAUUUGAUGGCCCAGCUUCAAGGCAUGGUUUGGUUGGAUGUGGGAUGCAUGAUUUAAUGCAUGACCUAGCAAAACAUGUUACGGGUGAAUGCGCAACUAUGCAAGAGUUGAUUCAGAAGAAAGCAUAUGUAGAAGAUGUCUUUCACAUGAAAAUAUCAUCGGAUGAAUUGGAACAAAGCAACGGAUUACUGAAAAAUAAGGAAUCUCUCCGAACUCUGUUAGCACCGUCAUCAUCACAUAAGGAUCUCAGCAAGUUAAGGCUGACGUCGUUAAGAGCAUUAUGUUGUCGUGGCCUUCAUAUCCGUCAACCCAUAAAGACAAAGCAUUUGCGAUAUCUUGACCUGUCUCACUCUGAAAUUGUUACAUUGCCAGAUUCGGUAUGCAUGUUGUACAACUUACAGUCGCUGAGGCUCAAUCAUUGCCACAAGCUCCGAUAUUUACCUGAAGGCAUCAGAAGCAUGAAAAAACUUCACCAUCUCUAUCUUUUUGAGUGUGAUAAACUGGAGCGGAUGCCCCCAAAGAUUAGUCAACUAAGCAACCUGCACACCCUAACAUCGUUUGUUGUGGGCACUGGAGAUGGUUGUGGAAUUGAUCAACUCAAAGAUCUAAAAUACCUUAGCCACCGGUUGGAACUAUACAAUUUGAUAAAAAUAGAGAGUGUGGUGGAUGCAAAAGAAGCCAAACUCUAUCAGAAAAAAAAUCUAACUGAACUGUCGCUAUGCUGGGGUCGUCGAAAAUAUCACGGGCCUCAAGAUGAUGUUGGUAACAUGGAACAAGUAUUGGAGGCUCUUGCACCUCAUAGUGAGAUCAAAGUAUUGGAGAUACAUGGUUAUGGUGGCACUAAAUUCUCAUCAUGGAUGAUGCACUCUCAGAUGUGCCAGUGCCUAAGAAAACUCAUAAUCUUCAACUGCCCAAAAUGCAAACAUCUCCCAUCCGCACCGCUGUUGGUCUCCCUCGAGUAUUUGUCCUUAGGUUACAUGGAUAGCCUGACCAUGAUAUGCAAGGAGACUGAUGUGGAGGUUGAAGGAUGCAAUGCAUCUCGUCAGAUCUUCCCAAAGCUAAAAAGAAUGUUCUUAGAAAACUUACCAGAGUUGGAGAGAUGGACAGAAAACAGUACUGCAGGGGAACCUCCUCAUAGCUUGGUGAUGUUUCCUCUGCUUGAAGAGCUAAGUAUGUAUGCCUGUCCGAAGGUUGCAAGUGUUCCGAGCAGCCCAGUUAUAGAGAAGCUGCGGAUAAUGGAAUGUUACAGCCUUCCAAUCAGCUCAAUCGCUCAUCUGACAACGCUCUCUGAGCUUGAGUUUGGUGGAGAAUUAAUUCGUUCUGCAAGCAUGCCUUUGGGCUCUUGGCUAUCCCUCGUGAAAUUAAGUGUUAGCUCACUGGGUGAUAUGAUGCUGCCUCCAGGGGACCAGCAAAGCCAUAGGCCCUUGGAAACCCUUCGGAGUAUGUGGCUAUCCGGUCCCAAUUGCUUUGAAACGACAUCCACUUUGUCAAAAUCGCACCUGCUGAGGCUCUGGGAGUGCUUUGCCUUUGUUGAAGAAUUGUGCAUUUCUGGGUGCGACGAACUUGUCCACUGGCCGACGGAGGAGCUCCGGAACCUGGCUCGUCUCCGUUUUCUGCGCAUUAGCUUCUGUGUUAAGCUCAAGGGGAAGGGCUCGCCGUCUGAUGAAAUCCUUCCGCCGCCCCAGCUGGAGAUGUUAAGCAUUCACAACUGUAGCAGCUUACGGUAUAUUCCCGAGGUGGCUGCAUCCCUUGAUGAAUUAGUGAUAGGAGAAUGCACGUGUUUGAUCGCGCUGCCUUCAAAUCUAUCCAAGCUGAGGGUGCUCCGGAUUCAGGGCUGCAGUGGCUUGAAAACUUUGCCAGAUGGCCUCACCUCUCUUGAGCAGCUGACAAUCGAGAGGUGUACAGGGAUAGAAAAAUUCCCGCAGGACCUCCUCCAACGGCUCCCAGCACUCAAGUCCUUGAAGAUAGUUGGUUGCCCCAACUUGCAAAGACAUUGCAGACAAGGUGGGGAGUAUUUCCACUUGAUUUCCUCUAUUCCACAUAAGGACAUUCCAGCAGCAGAAACUGAGUCUGGCAGGAUGAACCAGACGUUUUUAAAGAGGUUAAUGCCCUCCUGCUGACUCUCAGGUCUCAACUGAGCAGUGUAGGAUGAAUGCGGUGUUGUGGUUUCAUGAAGAAAGGAGCUAAGAGCCAAAGACCGACCUUGUCAUCCAUGCCUUGGUAGUAAUUUGGUUUCCAGAGACUGCAAGCAGGGGGCAGAGAUAUUGUCCUAUCCCACUGCUAUUGGCUCUGAACCCCAGGAUAUGAACCUGGAUUCCCGUGAACACUGGCGCUAACUUGGUUUCCCUUGUUGCUUCUCACCGGAUAGGAAGGGAAACUGUUGAGAGACUGAGCAUGGCAAAGGCACUAUAAAGUUCUAUGGGAAUUCGUUCAUCGCAGGGCCAACUGAAGAGAUCAUCAAGCUUGCAAAUGACGAAGACGAGGAGGUGCUUGCAGCAGAGUUCGACUUGGACGAGGUCAAUUCCUGAUCUAUACAGCGUGCUGUUGGGGUAUAUUCAGGGACAUGCGUCCUGAUCUAUACAAAAGUGCUGUUGACGUUGGAUGGCAAGACAUCAUCAUCCUGGGUCCCACUUGUAUGAGAAGGACAUGAGCUCCAAAAUACCGGGAAAACAGAGGGUCCAGGAAUAAUACAUGUGCCGCACCAAAUGUUGAGGUAUCUCUGUGUUUGCAGCUUGGUGGCUUUCCACCAAUAUAGCAUCAACAAAAUGCUGCAAUGUAACCAUGUGACCAGAAACAAAAUGUUCGAAACAUGAAGGAUAAUAAUGCAUCACUGCUUCACAGUUGUUGAAACAUUUUUUACUAUACUCCUACAGUUAGUGUUUUUAAUCACUUGCUUAAAAUGAAGAGGUGGAUGAUAAUUGGCAGAAUCAGCAUCUUUGACCCCCAAGAUACCCUUUGCUUUGGCUGUAAUGUAAACCUGUCAACCAACUGUCACAUGUGUUGUAGUAUUCCUUUUUCAUCAAACCAAGUCCAGGCAGGCAGGGUUCUUGUGAGCCUAGAGUGCUUUGCAGCCUGUACUGUAUACACGCUCAUCCUUAGCUGUGGAGCAUCAUUGCG